UACGUAGGUGGCAAGCGUUGUCCGGAAUUAUUGGGCGUAAAGCGCGCGCAGGCGGUUUCUUAAGUCUGAUGUGAAAGCCCACGGCUCAACCGUGGAGGGUCAUUGGAAACUGGGGAACUUGAGUGCAGAAGAGGAAAGUGGAAUUCCACGUGUAGCGGUGAAAUGCGUAGAGAUGUGGAGGAACACCAGUGGCGAAGGCGACUUUCUGGUCUGUAACUGACACUGAGGCGCGAAAGCGUGGGGAGCGAACAGG
rnacentral:rRNA from 1 species